UACAGAGGGGGCAAGCGUUGUUCGGAAUUACUGGGCGUAAAGGGCGCGUAGGCGGCCUUCUAAGUCGAACGUGAAAUCCCCGGGCUCAACCCGGGAACUGCGUCCGAUACUGGAAGGCUUGAAUCCGGGAGAGGGAUGUGGAAUUCCAGGUGUAGCGGUGAAAUGCGUAGAUAUCUGGAGGAACACCGGUGGCGAAGGCGACAUCCUGGACCGGUAUUGACGCUGAGGUGCGAAAGCGUGGGAGCAACAGG
rnacentral:rRNA from 1 species